rnacentral:lncRNA from 1 species
GUUUAUUGAAAAGCAACACGUUCAGAAGUAUCUGUCUGCAUGUAUGCUUGAAGGCCAGAAGAGGGCACCAGAUCUUGUGAGCCACCAUGUGAUUGCUGGGAAUUGAACUCAGAGUAGCCCCUGCUCUUAACCUCUGAACCAUCUCUGCAGCCCCUAUACAGGCACCAAUCAGACGCCCUUUCACCUGGUUGUCACGUGGAACCACUCAAGUGCUUUUGACACCCUUAGAUUGGCCUCCAGAGGGCUCCGCUCAGCUCAGAGGAGCCAGAACAUGACAAGUCAUCGUCCAGAUUCCUCAAAGGUUACCUCUUCUCAGGGGAAACAUGACAACUUCCAUGACAACAGAAACUGGUUGGGAAGCUUUAAGGCAGCGACCCCGGAAGCAGCAGCUCCUGAAAUGUCCUUGGUCCUGUCGUCAGCUUUGUCCUUGCUACAGGCCAGAAAUGCCAGGAAGGCUUUCCAGUUCCUGGUUAGCUCUCUUAAGCGAGCAGCACUGCCUGGCAGCUCACGUGAGAAUGUGAUGAAAACUGAGGGGGGGGGGCACCUGCAGAUUUCGUGGGUGGUCCAGCUGGACCGCCCACCUGCCCAAGCCUGACCCUAGUCUCUGCCAUAGGUCCUAAAACACUCGCCUGGUCUAGCAGCUGCGUCUUGGGACCCGCUCCAGCCGCUACUCCCCCCACCCCCCACCCCACGCUUCACUCCCUAC